rnacentral:tRNA from 1 species
GAUUUUAUAGUCAAAGUAGAUGAUGUUAGAUUGCAAUUCUAAAGUUGUAUAAUGUGCUAAAAUCU